CACACAGCUGUGCAUGCAAGCGCGCUGAUUUUUACUGCAUUUUUAACCACAGCUGUGUUUCUAAAUGUGUUGCAGCUGAUUGGGUAACACAAUGUUGAUUGAAAAACUGUUCCAGCAGAGAAUCCAGCUUUCUUUGCAGCGCUGUGAAAGUGUUCUUUUCUGUUCUGUGACUUUAUUUCAUAACCCACUGGGAUGACCGGAGGCAGUAUGGAGUCAGUUUGCCGCGUUCCUGUAACGCUAACGUUAGCAACCGUUAGCUAAUGUAAGCUAACAGUGGCUGAAACUUUUCCAGACAGUCGUCAACACUUAUGAUUUUUCAUCUGGGGCUGCUCCUUAUUACAUGCGCUUUGGUCUAAUCUGUCCUCUCAAGUGUACCUGAGCGCUGAGUUUCCUCGAGCUUCAAAGACAUCUCGGACUGUAGAGAGUGCUGCUGAAGGAAUUUCAUCAUGCCCAUAAUCACCUGACUUGCUAAAGCAGCUCUGAUAUUGAUGUGCCCUCCGCCUCAUCUGCCUGCUUUCACCUUGCCUGGCAACCAUCUCCUCCCAUGUUUAAGCCUAUAGCAGGAAGCCUGUGCCUAUGCUGUGCCGUGUGCUGAGGAGGAGACAGGGUGAUGGAUUACUGCGCUUGCGGCUACACGCAGGAUGUGUCCUUUGGGAAGUGUGAAGCUCAUCAUUGGGUGCUGGCGGGCCUCCACCAGCCGAGGUCAACCAUCUGAGGAAACGGAUGCAGGUUUCUUUUGGCGCGAAUGACAGAGAAAAGGUGAGAGGAUGAGAAAAGGAACAGUGGUGACACUGUGAAAACUGAAGACAAAAUAAGAGAGUGACACAGUGAGAAAGUGAGAUGAGAGAUUGCUCCCCUGUAGCUGAUGUAAAAACCAGUGCUGUUGCCCUGAGUGUCAACCCCCCUGAUAAAACAUCUGCCUUUAGCCUGGCACAGAAAACCUUGACUCUGAAACAUCUGGAACACCUGUGUUAUCAGGUGUACGUUAAAGAAUACGUGCCAAAAUCAAAAGCACAUGUUUCCUCCUCUAAAUGUAAGGUUAUUAUAAAAUAGUUUAGAGAAUUCAAUAGCAAAACAAUUAUCCAUGGGCGUGCAUAUAUGGGGCUGCUGCAGACCUCUCCCUUACUCCACUUGGGUAGUUUUGUAAGGCAUAUAAAUCAGUUUAAGCAUGAAAUGAAAAACUGAUCCAAGAUUAUUAGGUGAUAAAAUACCAGACAGGAGCUUCUCUACUGGCAGAGCAAAGGGGACUUAUAGAUCCGCUUCAACCUCAUGAUGUAAGGCUAUUGAUUUCAAACUAUUUGUUCCCUGAUCCCGAGAAACCGCUCUACAUCCUGGUGCUGUCACCUUAUUUUCUGUGUUGAAAAUAUAUUAUCUGCACUAUGAGUGUUAGAUUUUCUGCAGCAUUACAUAUAUGCAGAUUUGUCAAUAAAUACGCAUUAAUACGUAAUAAGUAUUAUCCAAUUAAAACCACUUUACUGUAUAUUAUAAAAUCUACAACUAUUUAUUUUCUCUAUAUCAUACAUACAGUACAUAUCUCAAUUCAUUCUGUACUUGUUUAAUCUGGUGGUACAUAUGGCAAAAUGUGUGUGAUCUAGGAGAAGUGAAAAUUGUGUUCCAUUUUCUGUACGGUGU